rnacentral:rRNA from 1 species
GACAGAGGGUGCAAACGUUGUUCGGAAUUACUGGGCGUAAAGCGCGUGUAGGCUGCUUCGCAAGUCGGAUGUGAAAGCCCUGGGCUCAACCCAGGAAGUGCAUUCGAAACUGCAGAGCUGGAGUCCUGGAGAGGAAGGCGGAAUUCUCGGUGUAGAGGUGAAAUUCGUAGAUAUCGAGAGGAACACAGGUGGCGAAGGCGGCCUUCUGGACAGUGACUGACGCUGAGACGCGAAAGCGUGGGGAGCAAACAGG